rnacentral:rRNA from 1 species
UGCAGUCGAGCGGACAGAAGGGAGCUUGCUCCCGGAUGUUAGCGGCGGACGGGUGAGUAACACGUGGGUAACCUGCCUGUAAGACUGGGAUAACUCCGGGAAACCGGAGCUAAUACCGGAUAGUUCCUUGAACCGCAUGGUUCAAGGAUGAAAGACGGUUUCGGCUGUCACUUACAGAUGGACCCGCGGCGCAUUAGCUAGUUGGUGAGGUAACGGCUCACCAAGGCGACGAUGCGUAGCCGACCUGAGAGGGUGAUCGGCCACACUGGGACUGAGACACGGCCCAGACUCCUACGGGAGGCAGCAGUAGGGAAUCUUCCGCAAUGGACGAAAGUCUGACGGAGCAACGCCGCGUGAGUGAUGAAGGUUUUCGGAUCGUAAAGCUCUGUUGUUAGGGAAGAACAAGUGCAAGAGUAACUGCUUGCACCUUGACGGUACCUAACCAGAAAGCCACGGCUAACUACGUGCCAGCAGCCGCGGUAAUACGUAGGUGGCAAGCGUUGUCCGGAAUUAUUGGGCGUAAAGGGCUCGCAGGCGGUUUCUUAAGUCUGAUGUGAAAGCCCCCGGCUCAACCGGGGAGGGUCAUUGGAAACUGGGAAACUUGAGUGCAGAAGAGGAGAGUGGAAUUCCACGUGUAGCGGUGAAAUGCGUAGAGAUGUGGAGGAACACCAGUGGCGAAGGCGACUCUCUGGUCUGUAACUGACGCUGAGGAGCGAAAGCGUGGGGAGCGAACAGGAUUAGAUACCCUGGUAGUCCACGCCGUAAACGAUGAGUGCUAAGUGUUAGGGGGUUUCCGCCCCUUAGUGCUGCAGCUAACGCAUUAAGCACUCCGCCUGGGGAGUACGGUCGCAAGACUGAAACUCAAAGGAAUUGACGGGGGCCCGCACAAGCGGUGGAGCAUGUGGUUUAAUUCGAAGCAACGCGAAGAACCUUACCAGGUCUUGACAUCCUCUGACAACCCUAGAGAUAGGGCUUUCCCUUCGGGGACAGAGUGACAGGUGGUGCAUGGUUGUCGUCAGCUCGUGUCGUGAGAUGUUGGGUUAAGUCCCGCAACGAGCGCAACCCUUGAUCUUAGUUGCCAGCAUUCAGUUGGGCACUCUAAGGUGACUGCCGGUGACAAACCGGA